GGUUAUAUCAGUGUGGGGAAUCACGUGACCCAAAAUGGUACGGAACACGGAAAUCAAGAUGGCGGAUUUUUGACUUUUUUACCAAUUUUCAAAGACAUGGCCACCGGGUCUGACACUUGGGAAAAAGAAGUGGAUAAAGAAGCAAAACAAGAAUGUCGAUAACUUUUCAAUUGCCGCAAUCCGUCAAGCAAUCACCAGCGAGAAACCAUCUAAAUCACCUCUGUACAACUCAUCUCCAGCAAAUAAAAAAAAUAAAGUGAAUUUGGUAACCUGUCGUUUCCAAAAAUCAAUUUACAAUAACUCCCGAUAAAGGUCUUCAAGAUCACUUUUUGGACAUGUAGAGGAAAACAGUGAUACCAGAGACGAUGUAGAACAUUUCUUAAACACUGAAUUACUGUGUGAAGAAAUCAAAUGUUCGAUACUGCAAGCAGAAAGAGACUUCCUGUGAAAAGAAAACAGGGAACUGUUAGUACAUCAAGGAACGCAGUUCAGAAAGGAGCUCUGUGUAUAAGGUGGGAGAAGGCUAGGACGAAUGAAAUAAAAUGCUACCGAUGAAGAGGAUGGGACUGGACUGGGAAGUGCUUAUGAACGAGAAAAGAAAUAGUUACGAUAUCAGUACCGAAAAUAAAGGGAAGAUGAUAUAAAUACAAUUGGAGAAAAGAAACAUUAUUUGGGUACUUAAUGUGAAAGGGAAUGUGAUAUAAAUAUACACUAAAUGAGAACAAAAACCGGAAGUAAAAUAGAUACUGAGUGAAGAAAGAACCGAUGUUUUUAAUAGUAAAUGGUAGGGAAAAUUUGAUACAUUCAGUAAACAAUGUGAAAACAGUGUGAUUAAAAUCAUGGGGCUAAAUUUUAUGCAAAAGGACAUUAUGUGAUAUAAGUUGACAUACUAAAUGGGAAUAGAAAGACUCAAUGACAUUGAGAAAAAGAAAUUUUAAGAAGUUUUAAUUUAUUGUUGGAAGUUUGCUGUAUAGAUUCUGUAUAGAUAAUGAAAAUGAGCUUUGAUAGCUUUUUUGUCAAUUGAAAAAAUGAUAUGUUCUUUUUUUGCACAUGUUUUUGUGACAAAAUUUUGUUUAAUUAUGUUUUUAAUUGCAAUAAAGAAGUAAUCGAACUGUUA